rnacentral:misc_RNA from 1 species
AGACCUCAAGCAGAGGAUCAUUAACCAGGUGGAUUACUAUUUCAGUGAUGAAAAUAUGCCCGCAAACAAGCAUAUGUUAGGUUUGAAGAACAAGGUAUGUUUCUAUCACAAUUAACUCAGGGAGUCUUCCUUUUUGGUUGUGAGCUCAGAUGGAAGGAUGGUGAAGCGCCAUCAUCUUUUUCCAUUUGCUGAGAUUAAGGAUCCACUGUUAUGCUCUGUUUUGGUGGUGAUUCUUCCAAAAGAUCACUCAGAACUGAACAUCCAACAAAUAUUU